rnacentral:rRNA from 1 species
AUUGAACGCUGGCGGCAUGCUUUACACAUGCAAGUCGAACGGCAGCGGGGGCUUCGGCCUGCCGGCGAGUGGCGAACGGGUGAGUAAUGCAUCGGAACGUGCCCAAGUCGUGGGGGAUAACGUAUCGAAAGGUACGCUAAUACCGCAUACGCCCUGAGGGGGAAAGCGGGGGAUUCUUCGGAACCUCGCGCGAUUGGAGCGGCCGAUGUCGGAUUAGCUAGUAGGUGAGGUAAAGGCUCACCUAGGCGACGAUCCGUAGCGGGUCUGAGAGGAUGAUCCGCCACACUGGGACUGAGACACGGCCCAGACUCCUACGGGAGGCAGCAGUGGGGAAUUUUGGACAAUGGGCGCAAGCCUGAUCCAGCCAUGCCGCGUGAGUGAAGAAGGCCUCGGUGUAAG